CCACCGACAUUAUACUCAGCCUCACUGGUCAUAUCUGCCAUUGAGCCACAGCUAAACUCCUCAUCGAUGGCUGAUUCAUUGAAAGAGUCAUUAGCUGAAUUGUAUGUGAUCAAUGGUCAAUACGAAAAGGCACUUUCUCUUUAUGCUGAACUCCUGAAGCCAGAAGUAUUCGAGUUUAUUGAGAAAUACAACUUGUAUGAUGCUAUUCAUGAUAAGAU